GACGAACGCUGGCGGCGUGCUUAACACAUGCAAGUCGAACGGAAAGGCCCUGCUUUUGUGGGGUGCUCGAGUGGCGAACGGGUGAGUAACACGUGAGUAACCUGCCCUUGACUUUGGGAUAACUUCAGGAAACUGGGGCUAAUACCGGAUAGGAGCUCCUGCUGCAUGGUGGGGGUUGGAAAGUUUCGGCGGUUGGGGAUGGACUCGCGGCUUAUCAGCUUGUUGGUGGGGUAGUGGCUUACCAAGGCUUUGACGGGUAGCCGGCCUGAGAGGGUGACCGGCCACAUUGGGACUGAGAUACGGCCCAGACUCCUACGGGAGGCAGUAGUGGGGAAUAUUGCACAAUGGGCGGAAGCCUGAUGCAGCAACGCCGCGUGCGGGGUGACGGCCUUCGGGUUGUAAACCGCUUUCGCCUGUGACGAAGCGUGAGUGACGGUAAUGGGUAAAGAAGCACCGGCUAACUACGUG
rnacentral:rRNA from 1 species